rnacentral:rRNA from 1 species
GACGAACGCUGGCGGCGUGCCUAAUACAUGCAAGUAGAACGCUGAAGAGAGGAGCUUACUCUUCUUGGAUGAGUUGCGAACGGGUGAGUAACGCGUAGGUAACCUGCCUUGUAGCGGGGGAUAACUAUUGGAAACGAUAGCUAAUACCGCAUAACAAUGGAUGACACAUGUCAUUUAUUUGAAAGGGGCAAUUGCUCCACUACAAGAUGGACCUGCGUUGUAUUAGCUAGUAGGUGAGGUAAUGGCUCACCUAGGCGACGAUACAUAGCCGACCUGAGAGGGUGAUCGGCCACACUGGGACUGAGACACGGCCCAGACUCCUGCGGGAGGCAGCAGUAGGGAAUCUUCGGCAAUGGGGGCAACCCUGACCGAGCAACGCCGCGUGAGUGAAGAAGGUUUUCGGAUCGUAAAGCUCUGUUGUAAGUCAAGAACGGGUGUGAGAGUGGAAAGUUCACACUGUGACGGUAGCUUACCAGAAAGGGACGGCUAACUACGUG